GGGAGCAUUAAGAUAUAGACGACCACGACGUAAUGCAUUAAUGGAAGUACAAAUGCCAGUGAUUAAGAACGCCGAAUGCAAAAUAGCUUAUUCCAAAUUUCCUAAUGCACCUGAUAUCACUGAUGGUAUAAUAUGCGCCGAACAUGCUCAGGGUGGAGAGGAUUCUUGUACGGCUGACCGCGGCGGACCACUGCUGAUACAACAUGAAUUAACCUCGUAUUUAAUAGGUAUUGUGUCUUAUGCUUAUAAGUGCGGCACAGCUGGGUAUCCCAGCGUUUACACUAGGGUCACAUCGUACCUUGACUUCAUUCUCCAAGCGAUGCAAUAAUAUGAUAUUACUGUUCCAUAAAUAUCAUUGUGUAAAAAACGUAAAGUUGGAUUUUCUUAUUGUGGAGAUAAGAAACAGCUCAAAUUUACAUUGUUUUGUACGUUACAAAUUAUAGGCUUAAAAUGUACGAAAUGUAACUUUGAAACGACACUAAUUUUUUACGCACGAUAAACCUCCACGACUUAGGAAAACAGUGCAGGAUGCUGUGAUUCGUUUCUUGUGGUCGGAGGUUAUGUUUGAUGCCUAUAUUUAUCAAAGAUUUAAUGCACAUUAUGGAGAAAGUGUUUUGUCACGAAGUGUGUUUGAAUGGGCACAAAAGUUCAAAGAAGAUCGCACGAGUGUUAUGAAAAAACAGCUGGACGCCCGUCCACAUCCACGAUGACAACAUUGAACGUGCUCAUGAACUUAUGCUCUAUGGAAUAGACGAGUGACACUGGAUAAUGUGGCAAAUCAUUUGCAAAUCAGCCACGGCUCUGCUUAUGCAAUAGUGCACGACAGAUUUGGAUUUUAAAAAGUUUGUGCGAGAUGGAUGCCGAAAAAGCUGAUGAAAAGGUGAAGACGACGAUGCAUUCGUGGUUCGCAGCUCAGCCCAAAACAUUUUUUAAUGAGAAAAUACAAAGGUCCUUCGGCAAAUGGACAAAGUGUAUACAGAAAUCGAGUGAUUAUGUCAAAAAAUGAUGUAUGUCUUUUUUGACAAUUGCUUAAAAUAAAUUCUACACCGACAGAGCGGGCUGUUAAUCUAGAGGCUGGAGUACAAAGAAGUGGCACAAUGAUGUGGGCUGAUGACAUUUAUAAUUAUCAAGGAAUCACCCCUACAUUCGCUCAGAAUUUUAAUGAAACUGUCCCUUGGGAAGGAAGAACUGAUACCUUGAUAUCACGGUUUGUACAUCCUAUAUAUACGACAAAUUUUAGAACAUUAUAUAACGAAGAACCAGAUCGUCGUGGCCAUGUGAUGUGAAUAAAAGGACUUGAAUUUGAUGAUAUUUUUAUAAUGUUAGAUAACAUAACUAAGUAUCUUCACAGUAAGAUAGGAUGACAUGGUUUACAUGAUCUUAAUGUUGUUCACUCGAGUGAUGAUAUUAUAAGGAAAAGCGUAAUAUCACAGGAUAUUUAUGUUUAGUAACCAGUAAUUCAGAGAUUGGUAUUCAUGGUUACUAUAACGAGGCUGUAGAAACGCACCCUUUCUUCUUUGCAAAUGGUCCUGUAUUUAUGUCUAAGCCGAAACUGGAACCUCUGAAUAAUUUAGAUUUAUUCUUGUUAUUUUCUAAAAUACUUAUCUACAGUAUACCAUAAGGAAUGAUACCAUAUCGCACCUAAUCAAGUGCCUUAAGAAACAUCAACAGGAUAUCA